UACGGGGGGGGCAAGCGUUGUUCGGAAUUACUGGGCGUAAAGGGCUCGUAGGUGGCCAACUAAGUCAGACGUGAAAUCCCUCGGCUUAACCGGGGAACUGCGUCUGAUACUGGAUGGCUUGAGAUUGGGAGAGGGACGCGGAAUUCCUGGUGUAGCGGUGAAAUGCGUAGAUAUCAGGAGGAACACCAAUAGCGAAGGCAGCUCGCUGGGACGGUACUGACGCUAAGGCGCGAAAGCGUGGGGAGCGAACAGG
rnacentral:rRNA from 1 species